CAUCGCCUGGCUGGAGGGCUGCUGAGAUUGCCUGGAGUCUCUGGGCCUUUUUCUUUGCAGCCCUCUACAUUGGGACUCCCUCGCUGAAUCAAGCUGCCAUGCCUUCCCUUUCUUCUAAGCAAACACAAUGUCCUCUGAGAGGCCUGUGCAACCUUAUUUUCUCCGCAGAGGAAUGUUAAUACCACCAAUCAAAGACAAAGCCAAACAAUGCUGUAUAUCAGGAAACAUGUAUGGUGUGCCCAAAGACCAGCAAGUUAAUUUAUAAGGGUGUGACAUCUGAUGUAAAUUGAUCUGCAAUUAAUCUCAGCCUCAUGUAGGACAACAGAUUUCAAGUAUGCUGAACAAAACCUGCCCUCAAAACAAUAAAUAAUCUCUUUGAUUCUACUGCACAAGAAGGU